rnacentral:rRNA from 1 species
AGUGAACGCUGGCGGCGUGCCUAAUACAUGCAAGUCGAACGGAGUGGCGCACAGGGGAGUAAUAUAUAGCUAAUCUGCCCCUUGCUGGAGGAAAACCGUUAGAAAUUACUGCUAAUACCCCCUAGCACUGGAGGAGACUAUAUCGUAUCAGCUAGGCGGUGGGGUAACGACCUACCGAGGCUAUGACGGGUACCUGGUCUGAGAGGACGAGCAGUGACAUUGGAACUGAGACACGGUCCAAACUCCUACGGGAGGCAGCAGUAGGGAAUAGUGCGACAUGGGGGAAAUCCUGACGCAGCAAGGGUGCGUGGAGGAUGACACUUUGCGGAGCGUAAACUCCUUCGGUUAGGGAAGCGGUACCUAACUAAUAAGCCCCGGCUAACUACGUGCCAGCAGCCGCGGUAAUAC